rnacentral:rRNA from 1 species
UGGGGAAUAUUGCACAAUGGGGGAAACCCUGAUGCAGCAACGCCGCGUGAGUGAUGACGGCCUUCGGGUUGUAAAGCUCUGUCUUCAGGGACGAUAAUGACGGUACCUGAGGAGGAAGCCACGGCUAACUACGUGCCAGCAGCCGCGGUAAUACGUAGGGGGCAAGCGUUAUCCGGAUUUACUGGGUGUAAAGGGAGCGCAGACGGAACUGCAAGUCUGAUGUGAAAGCCCGGGGCUCAACCCCGGGACUGCAUUGGAAACUGUUUAGCUAGAGUGUCGGAGAGGUAAGUGGAAUUCCUAGUGUAGCGGUGAAAUGCGUAGAUAUUAGGAGGAACAUCAGUGGCGAAGGCGACUUACUGGACGAUAACUGACGCUGAGGCUCGAAAGCGUGGGGAGCAAACAGG